UGCUCGCUCACGUGGCACGAGCGAGAGGAUCUCGUCACGGUGUCGGAAUUGCUAUGGAGAGGUACGCAGGAGGAGCUGGUGGUCUUCGCCCUCCCCGGUAACCCUAGAACUUGCGGCGCCACCCCUAUAUCUUUGGCACCAGUACCCGCCGCCGGUGCAUCCCGAUAACCCGUAUAGAUCCCUUGCCUACGCUGCUACCCCUAUGGUCUCUGUUCCUACCCUGCAUCUCUCCUACCGGGAGGUGCGCAUGAGGACGGCUUGGUUUCCCUUUCAGCGGCACCUUCUUGAGGAGAUGUGGAGCCAGCCGGAAUUGGAUGUGCCGACACGCUACUCCAACCUGCUGGCCAUGAUACAAAAACAGGUCAACAAUGAGGUCAGUAAGAGGUUGGCGCACUUGACCGUCUGACGCUCGCCAGCUCCCACCCCACCUCCUCUUGCAUCCACGCCCUCGCUUUCUCAACCAAGCCAGCAGCCAGCAACUGCAUGCAUGCCAUCUAUUUGAAAAAAUGCAGAAGAGACGAAUUUAAUUUGCACAUUUUCAAGCCAUGAGCCCAGCUCUCCGUGAAUUUUGCUCUGUUUCUCCAUGUCAUGUACCUCAUGUGAUCACCUUGAUAUGUGUGUGUGUUUCCUGUGGCCUCCUCAUGGGCUGUUAUGUGAUGCUUGUAUUUUCAGUUUCAUACGAAAUGAAGGAGGAAUGGUGACAAAUAAGAGCGAACACCUCCAUCCAAGUGAUUUUGAUCUAUUGCCAUGCUGCUCGAUUUCUAAAUCUGUAGCUACGAGUGUUACUUCUGAAGUCUGACAUUGCAGAUUACAUUGUUAUUCAUAUUUUUUGUGCUUUCGGCUUCCUCCCGUCAAGAUGAAAGGUUGCAGUUCGGCAAGAAUCUGCUCUUUCUCAUGGUGGCGUUUGGCUAGGAUUCAGGAACAAAUGGAACUAGGCACACUUUGCAUCUGGGCGACACUAAGGUGCUAGCCACACACAUCGUUUAAGCACAUGACGCGAGAGGCGAAAUGUAUACUUAGAUUGCUUAAUAUUACAACUGAAAUUAUUGAGCUGGUUUCAUAUCCCACAUUUAUGUGAGUUCUCUGUAACUGAGCAGCUGAGAACUACUUUCACUUCAAAUCCAAAUACCUAAUCUAAUUCUAAAUUGGCAAAACCCAUUUCAGCGUUCUUGUUCAGUAUUGUCAUCGAAAAGGUUAAAGUGCGCCUUUUUAACAUCCCAUUAUCAAAAAGAAUAUUAUUACUGAUUUUUACAGAUAUUCCCCAUGAAUAGACUAGACUUAUUUAGUAUGAUGUGACAUCUUAAAAGAUGGGACUGUACCUAUUUUACUACUUCCAUUUGCAUGCGAUCCAGGGUGAGAGCAUCGGUCAUGGAUGCCCACCGUUCAUGUAUAUGUGCAUUCAUGGGUCAGAUCAUACUUAAAAUUUGCAGGCUAACAAUAUUAUUCAAUAUAGUACUAUUCUGGCAUAUGCAUCUAUGCAUCGUUCUUGGCUGACUUUAUUCUCUUAAAAGCUCGACCAUGUUAUGUUGUACAUUAUCUAUGCAAUCUUCAGUUAUGUUUUCUUUACCUGACACUAACCACACAAUCAUCAUUGUCCAACAUGUUUUUUUCCCUUAAUUCAUUCAGAAUAGCCUACGACGGUUUUUAGUAUGGAGGGAGGCAUGCAUCGUGAAGUUCUUCGGCUGAACUGUGAGGGUGUGUGGAUGGUUGCAAUGAGAUUGUCCAGCAAGUGCGUCCGCGUCCAUCAGAGGCAUAAGUCUAUGUACUCGUUCGGAAAAUUAAGCCGAAGAUGUGAUGAACUGGAAUGCGUGCAGAGGAAUUGGGUGCACCGCAGCUCGAGACAAUAAGGAUGCAUCAUGGUCAAGCCUACAAUCUGGUCAUUGUCUUGCCACCUACAGGGGUGGAGUGACGUCUUGCUUAGGAGCAGACGUUUGUAGCGGCACAUAUGUGUUGACGCAUGAAUACACCACAAAGUAUAUUUUUAUCAGAAUCUAUAUCUAUAUAUAUGUUUGUUGUUUGCUUAGCAACACACAUGUCACUUAAGAUGGAGAAAUUAAUGUUUGUGGCUACAUGGUGGAAAUUGACAGGUGCGCCAUUCUUGAUAUUCAUGGUUGCUAAGUAAACAACUAUUUAAGCAA